UUGAAACACCAGUUCCUGUAUGAUCAUUGAAGUUAAGUAAUGUCGAGUCUGGUCAGUACCAUGAUGGGUGACUGGUUGGGAAUAUCAGGUACUGUCA